AUGACCGUGACCCAGCCCGCGGAUCCGACCUGGCGCAACGACGCCGGUCGCACCGCCACAGACUUGACUUGGCGCACCGACGCCGGUUGCACCGUGCGCCGUCACGACCCCGGCGACAUACACCGAGCUCCUUCUCCGCCGGCGACACAUGCCUGGCGUCCCUCUGCGUCCCGCACGUCCCGUGCGCACCCGACGCGCCCGACCGCACCAGUGCGUCCCGCACGUCCCGCGCGCAUCCAACGCGCCCGACGAGCCCGACUGCACCAAACGCUCACCGCGUGCCGCCUCCGCGUCCGCCAUGGCAGCCGACAGCGACAAAUGCCGGAAGGAUGCUGCCGAACUCGAGCACAGACUCGAGCACAACGGCGACAUACACCUCCUCCCAACGUCAACCGCACGCUAGUACGCGCGACCGUGGUCCCGACGCGCCCGACGCAUCCAGUGUGCACCCAUAACACGCACCGGUCGCGCCCGGCUCGUCGCCGCGGCCUCCAUGCAGCCAUGCAGUGCCUCCACGCCGCCACGCCGUGCUGCGCCACCGCGCCACCACGUAGCGCCUCCGCGGCCUCCUCACCGUGCCGCCGCAGCCACCGCGGCCUCCUCGCCACGCCGCGCACCUCCAUAGAUCGACACACGGCCCGGAGCUUCACCGCGCAGCCGCCGGCGAACGCCACCACCGCCGGCACGCCUCCGGCAAGGGGACGACACCCAAGAUGA
rnacentral:rRNA from 1 species